rnacentral:rRNA from 1 species
GACGAACGCUGGCGGCGUGCUUAACACAUGCAAGUCGAGCGGAGCGGCGAACGGGUGAGUAACGCGUGAGUAACUGCCCCCCUCUCUGGGAUAACAGUUGGAAACGGGUGCUAAUACCGGAUAGUGGGGGAUGACUCGCGUCCUAUUAGCUUGUUGGUGGGGUAGUGGCCUAACAAGGCGACGACGGGUAGCCGGCCUGAGAGGGCGACCGGCCACAUUGGGCUGGGAUACGGCCCAAACUCCUACGGGAGGCAGCAGUGGGGAAGGUUGCGCAAUGAGGGAGACCGUGAUGCAGCAACGCGCGUGCGGGAUGACGGCCUUCGGGUUGUAAACCGCUUUCAGCCAUGACGCGGUAGUGGCAGAAGAAGCACCGGCUGACUACGUGCCAUCAGCCGCUGUAAUUC